rnacentral:rRNA from 1 species
CCAGACUCCUACGGGAGGCAGCAGUGGGGAAUAUUGCACAAUGGGGGAAACCCUGAUGCAGCAACGCCGCGUGAGUGAUGACGGCCUUCGGGUUGUAAAGCUCUAUCUUCAGGGACGAUAAUGACGGUACCUGAGGAGGAAGCCACGGCUAACUACGUGCCAGCAGCCGCGGUAAUACGUAGGUGGCAAGCGUUGUCCGGAAUUACUGGGUGUAAAGGGAGCGUAGGCGGGACAGCAAGUCCAGUGUGAAAUCUAUCGGCUCAACCGAUAGCUGCGCUGGAAACUGUGGUUCUUGAGUGAAGUAGAGGCAGGCGGAAUUCCUAGUGUAGCGGUGAAAUGCGUAGAUAUUAGGAGGAACACCAGUGGCGAAGGCGGAUUGCUGGACAGUAACUGACGCUGAGGCGCGAAAGCGUGGGGAGCAAACAGGAUUAGAUACCCCGGUA